rnacentral:lncRNA from 1 species
AAAUUUAUAGAAGAUGGACUUAUUGUUGGAAAUCUGGGAUUUAUACUGAUAUCAGAUUUUGAGAAUCUAGAAUUCGUUUUAAUAUUAAGGGUCUGUUUGGUUAGAUGUAAUUAUAAAUGCAGUAAAGUUAGAGAUACAUGCUAUUGAAAAUGCGGUAGUUACAACUACAUACAUCCUGUUUGGUUAGAUGUAGUAGAAAACGCUGCAAGUAUAAAUAAUUUAUUUGGUUGCAUGCAGUUGAAAAACAAUGUUUUAAAUUUUAUCAUUAUGUACAUAUGAUAGUGAGAUUACAUCCAAUGUAAAAAGAAAAAAAAAAAAAAAAUGUUUAAAAAAUAAUUGAGUAGGUAAGCAUACCUUUUGUUUAAAGUUUAAUUAAGAAGGUAAGCAUAUAUUUUGUUUAAAGUUACUCUCUUCAACUGCUGCAGUUGGAACUGUGGCCAAUUUGGGCGUAGUUUGAACUGCUGCAGUUGGGCCCUCUCCUGCAGUUCCUACUGCAGCAGUUAAAGUUAAAUACAUCAAAACCAAACACCGAAUUUGCAUUUACAUGUAGUUAUAACUGCAGUGCAGUUGCAACUAUAUGCAACCAAACGGCCCCUAAGAGCUGGAAAUUCAAUAGUACCGAUAGUUGGGAUUCUGCAAUGAGAACGUCAAAACUGAUUUUUAAAAUAAAUGGUAAAUCAUUCACAUUAUUUUUCUUAAUUGAAAUACGAUGGAUCAUUUAUCGUUUUUAAAAUAUAAAAAAAAGACGGUGAAUGAUUAAUCGUCUUCUAAAUUAUAUUAAAGGCGGUAAAUGACUGUUCAUCAUCUUCAAAUUAUUUUUCCAACUAAAUAUUGAGUUUGGACAAAAUAGAGUUAUUUAAGCAAAUAAUUUUUUUACAAAGUUAUUUGGCCAAUUAUAAAUUUUUAAAUGGUUAAUUAAA